GAUGAACGCUGGCGGCGUGCCUAAUACAUGCAAGUCGAGCGAACGGACGAGAAGCUUGCUUCUCUGAUGUUAGCGGCGGACGGGUGAGUAACACGUGGAUAACCUACCUAUAAGACUGGGAUAACUUCGGAAAACCGGAGCUAAUACCGGAUAAUAUUUUGAACCGCAUGGUUCAAAAGUGAAAGACGGUCUUGCUGUCGCUUAUAGAUGGAUCCGCGCUGCAUUAGCUAGUUGGUAAGGUAACGGCUUACCAAGGCAACGAUGCAUAGCCGACCUGAGAGGGUGAUCGGCCACACUGGAACUGAGACACGGUCCAGACUCCUACGGGAGGCAGCAGUAGGGAAUCUUCCGCAAAGGGCGAAAGCCUGACGGAGCAACGCCGCGUGAGUGAUGAAGGUCUUCGGAUCGUAAAACUCUGUUAUUAGGGAAGAACAUAUGUGUAAGUAACUGUGCACAUCUUGACGGUACCUAAUCAGAAAGCCACGGCUAACUACGUG
rnacentral:rRNA from 1 species